AUGUCACUAUGUUUUACAGGUGUCCAGUGUGAGGUACAACUGGUGGAGUCUGGGGGAGACCUGAGGCAGCCUGGAGGGUCUCUGAAGCUCUCCUGUGUAGCCUCUGGGUUCACCUUUAGUAGCUAUUCAAUGAGUUGGGUUCGUCAAGCUCCAGGGAAGGGACUGCAGUGGGUCUCACGUAUUACUAGUAGUGGUGGUAGUACAUACUACACAGAGUCUGUGAAGGGCCGAUUCACCAUCUCCAGAGACAACGCAAAGAACAUGGUGUAUCUGCAGAUGGACAGUCUGAGAACUGAGGACACAGCCAUGUAUUACUGUGCAAGAGACACGGUGAGGGGAAGUCAGUGUGAGCCUAAACAGAAACCUGUCUGUGGGAGCCAAGAGCACAGGAUUCAGAUCCAGGAGCAGGUGCAGAUGUAG